rnacentral:rRNA from 1 species
UACAGAGGUCUCAAGCGUUGUUCGGAUUCAUUGGGCGUAAAGGGUGCGUAGGCGGCGCGGUAGGUCGGGUGUGAAAUCUCGGGGCUUAACUCCGAAACUGCAUUCGAUACUGCCGUGCUUGAGGACUGGAGAGGAGACUGGAAUUUACGGUGUAGCGGUGAAAUGCGUAGAUAUCGUAAGGAAGACCAGUGGCGAAGGCGGGUCUCUGGACAGUUCCUGACGCUGAGGCACGAAGGCCAGGGGAGCAAACGGG